CCCCCUCCCCGCCCGCCUAGCGCCCGCGCCCUGGGACGUCCGGGGGCCUGUGACCCGGAGGCGCUGGGGCUGUCCUGGGUCGUCACAUGCGAGAAAUCGUCUCACCCCAGCCAGUGUGACGGAGUGAGAGCAAAAGAAAGUUUUGAUAGCAGCGUACGAUUUAUAUUCAGCUGUAUGCUGGGCAGGUCCAACUUGGCAUUUCUUGGCUGUAUCUCUGAAGGAAAGUCAUCUUAAUCUCUAUGAGCCUCCAUUUCCUCAGCUGUAAAAUGGGAAGAUCUUCCUCACACUGCUGUGCAACGGGGCCUCAUGAUGUUGCCUAGGCUGGGCUCCAGCUCCUGGAUUCAAGCAAUCCUCCCACCUUGGCCUCUCAGUGUUUUGGGAUUACAGGUGUGAGCCACCACGCCUGGUCUCAAGCCUUCGCUUUCGCAAUCAGCACUAAAGGCAGCCAGAAAUCAACCGUGCGCCACCCCCGACCUGAGAAACAAGUCUAAAUGUGUCCGGAAUUGGUGGGUUCUUAGUUUCACUGACUUCAAGAAUGAAGCCGCGGACCCUCGCGAAUGAAUACACAGGGGCUUAGAGGCAUGUGCUGCUACUGAGGGGAGCACCAAGUGAGAAAUGGAAAAGACCAGGAGAGUGGUGAACGGCCUCACGCUCACUUGACUUCACUCAUGCAGAAGGGCUGCGGGAGCAAGAUGGAAGUCCUGACUGACGAUCCACACUCUGGGUCUUCAGGGAAGUGUCAGCCUCAGAGCUGCGGUCAGUGCGUGGAGCCGGCUACCUGUUGGGGAAGAAGAACUUAAGGUUGGCAGGGACAUGGUUCCACAUAGUCACUUAAGGACACAGGAUGAAAAAGGCUAUUUCAUUUUGUAGUUGUGCUAUUGGAACAAGGGGCCUCUUCAAUCACUGGAACAAGGAAAGAGGAAAGUAAAGAAGGGCACGUGGGUAUUUUCUGUCUUAGCCCAGAGGUGAUCUGCAUCAUUUCUGCUUAUAUUUCAUUGUCUGGAACUUGUCAAAUGGUUCACCUAAUAUACAGGACUAAAUACAAUGUUUAGCAAGCA
rnacentral:lncRNA from 1 species